rnacentral:lncRNA from 1 species
CUGCCUUGGCUCAGAGAAAGUGUUGACCUCGUCGGUUUGACCCUCGAUCUCAACCGAUCUGAGGUACUCUCACAGUUGGCCCUAGUUGCUAUAUCAGGCAACAUUGACUUUCAGUUCCCCACAGAUCACAGAAUCCUGCAAUCGCCUAUAACAAACUUGCCAUGAGUUGAUAAGGCAGGAGAUGGCCCACGUAUCUCACUAGAUGAAGCAGGAGA